rnacentral:rRNA from 1 species
GACGUAGGGCGCAAGCGUUGUCCGGAUUUAUUGGGCGUAAAGAGCUCGUAGGCGGCUCGUUGCGUCGGCUGUGAAAACCCGAGGCUUAACCUCGGGCCUGCAGUCGAUACGGGCAGACUAGAGUUCGGUAGGGGAGACUGGAAUUCCUGGUGUAGCGGUGAAAUGCGCAGAUAUCAGGAGGAACACCGGUGGCGAAGGCGGGUCUCUGGGCCGAUACUGACGCUGAGGAGCGAAAGCGUGGGGAGCGAACAGG